UGGUCUCGAGUCUCCCUUAACGGGGGUGCCGUUAGCAGCGGCGCGGGGAACGAGCGGCGUCUGCGGAAGCCCCUGCGGAAGGAGGGGCUCCGGCCAGGGUCGAGCUGCGGUAAUAACGGUCACUGCUGCCUCUUUCCCUCUCCCAGAGGCCACGCUGUGGGUGCGGUUGUCCGUUCGUCCCCUGGGGAUGCCGUUGACUGCAGCAGCCUCAGGCUUGCGUGGGCUGUCUCUGCCUGGCCUCCCUCUCCUCGCGGCGCGGGAGCGCAGAGGGACAGGCGGAGCGCUUACUGGCUGUGGGCAGGAGCUGCGGAAGCUGGAGAGGCCACAGAAAGGUAAAGAAGAAGCAGCGGAAGGCCGUCUGGCUGGCAGCUGCCUCCCGCUGCAGGCAAGAGAGAGCCUGCCUCUCCGGGUGUGGGAGCAUCCCUCCUCGUAGUCCGCAGCAGGUCAGACCGCCAGGGUCUGUAUGCACGACCAGCAGCGGGGUACGGCCACGUAGUGAGCGAGCGAGGCUACGUGUCUAGGAGGCCUCAUCUCGUAAGAGCUGUGAGACGCUUGCGUGUUCCGUUACGUGGAGGACAGCCAAGCGACGGGAGUUCCAGAAGAGGAAGGGAGGAGAGAAGGAGAAAGAAGCGUCUGAGCUGGCAAGGUCUCCUGGCAGCUCCAAGAGCGAGAGCUGUGCAGUUGAUAUACAACCUUAUGGAAAGCCCAGGCCGUUGCACAUAGCUGGAGCUUGUAAGGAGAAGCAGCUGAAAUCAGCCGGAGCUUCACCGCGGAGCUGGGGCUUCAGUGAGCCAGAACUGUAGCAAGCGGGAGCUGGAACGAGGCGGGGCGUCCGCUGUCUGGAGCGUGCGUUAGCCAGAGGCAAAAGUACCUGCGGCUGGAACGAGCAGGAGCCGCGAUGAGCUGGAGCGUCUUUUCGCUGGAGCGUCCGUCGGCCGGACCACGCUCCCAGCACGGCUGAAGAGCGGCCCGGCGCAGGCAGGGCUGUCCGCAGCGAGCGGCUCCGAGCAGCAGGGAGUGUCACCUUCCGCGUCACACGAAGAAAAUCCUGCGUGGUUAAUUCCGCUUGCUGCUCAGGUAAUCGCACGUAUCGGGCUGGGGGAGCGGAGAGAAGCACUUGCGAGUUCGAGGGCACUACAGAUGCUCCACGUUAAACCCACAGAAAAGGCAAAUUUGCUGCUAGUGCAGAAGAGCUGAUGGAAAAAUUGCUGUUAACAGAUCGUGCCCUGUUCCUGAACUGGUCCCUUGAUACGUUUGUGUUUCAGGUGAAAGAACGAAAUUUCAUGUCUGGUAAAUUCAGAGCUGCCUGUUAGCUUCUUUAGGGUCGAGUGUUUCUCUUCUCUCUGUUCAUACUGAUUUUAUGGGCAAGUUGGAGAUAGCCUUUUAUUUUUUUAUGUAUAACUGAAUUUUUAGGAAUAUGUGGUGUCCCUGUAGUUCACUUUUGAGCACCUAGAUGCCAGUAGAAAUGUAAUGGGUGAAACAUGAUGGAAACGGGUACUUAAACUUGAUUUUUGUUUGAUUUUUUUUUUUUCCCUUCC